rnacentral:rRNA from 1 species
UACGGAGGGAGCUAGCGUUGUUCGGAAUUACUGGGCGUAAAGCGCACGUAGGCGGCUUUGUAAGUUAGACGUGAAAUCCCCAGGCUCAACCUGGGAACUGCGUCUGAUACUGGAUGGCUUGAAUUCGGGAGAGGGAUGCAGAAUUCCAGGUGUAGCGGUGAAAUGCGUAGAUAUCUGGAGGAAUACCGGUGGCGAAGGCGGCAUCCUGGACCGACAUUGACGCUGAUGAGCGAAAGCUAGGGGAGCAAACGGG